GGCCCUGUGGCGGACGGUCCGCAUCUGCAAAGUGUGGACGGUAACACAUUGCUUCUGCAGAGGAUGCCUGUUCGAUUCAGGCCGGGGCCA